AUUGAACGCUGGCGGCAUGCUUUACACAUGCAAGUCGAACGGCAGCGCGGGCUUCGGCCUGGCGGCGAGUGGCGAACGGGUGAGUAAUGCAUCGGAACGUGCCCAGUAGUGGGGGAUAGCCCGGCGAAAGCCGGAUUAAUACCGCAUACGACCUGAGGGUGAAAGCGGGGGGCCGAAAGGCCUCGCGCUAUUGGAGCGGCCGAUGUCGGAUUAGCUAGUUGGUGGGGUAAAGGCUUACCAAGGCGACGAUCCGUAGCUGGUCUGAGAGGACGACCAGCCACACUGGGACUGAGACACGGCCCAGACUCCUACGGGAGGCAGCAGUGGGGAAUUUUGGACAAUGGGGGCAACCCUGAUCCAGCCAUGCCGCGUGCGGGAAGAAGGCCUUCGGGUGGUAAACCGCUUUUGUUCGGGAAGAAAUCCUCUGGGCUAAUACCCCGGGGGGAUGACGGGACCGGAAGAAUAAGCACCGGCUAACUACGU
rnacentral:rRNA from 1 species